rnacentral:rRNA from 4 species
AGAGUUUGAUCCUGGCUCAGGACGAACGCUGGCGGCGUGCUUAACACAUGCAAGUCGAGCGAUGAAGCUUCCUUCGGGAAGUGGAUUAGCGGCGGACGGGUGAGUAACACGUGGGUAACCUGCCUCAAAGUGGGGGAUAGCCUUCCGAAAGGAAGAUUAAUACCGCAUAAUAUAAGAGAAUCGCAUGAUUUUCUUAUCAAAGAUUUAUUGCUUUGAGAUGGACCCGCGGCGCAUUAGCUAGUUGGUAAGGUAACGGCUUACCAAGGCAACGAUGCGUAGCCGACCUGAGAGGGUGAUCGGCCACAUUGGAACUGAGACACGGUCCAGACUCCUACGGGAGGCAGCAGUGGGGAAUAUUGCGCAAUGGGGGAAACCCUGACGCAGCAACGCCGCGUGGGUGAUGAAGGUCUUCGGAUUGUAAAGCCCUGUUUUCUAGGACGAUAAUGACGGUACUAGAGGAGGAAGCCACGGCUAACUACGUGCCAGCAGCCGCGGUAAUACGUAGGUGGCGAGCGUUGUCCGGAUUUACUGGGCGUAAAGGGUGCGUAGGCGGAUGUUUAAGUGGGAUGUGAAAUCCCCGGGCUUAACCUGGGGGCUGCAUUCCAAACUGGAUAUCUAGAGUGCAGGAGAGGAAAGCGGAAUUCCUAGUGUAGCGGUGAAAUGCGUAGAGAUUAGGAAGAACACCAGUGGCGAAGGCGGCUUUCUGGACUGUAACUGACGCUGAGGCACGAAAGCGUGGGUAGCAAACAGGAUUAGAUACCCUGGUAGUCCACGCCGUAAACGAUGGAUACUAGGUGUAGGGGGUAUCAACUCCCCCUGUGCCGCAGUUAACACAAUAAGUAUCCCGCCUGGGGAGUACGGUCGCAAGAUUAAAACUCAAAGGAAUUGACGGGGGCCCGCACAAGCAGCGGAGCAUGUGGUUUAAUUCGAAGCAACGCGAAGAACCUUACCUGGACUUGACAUCCCUUGCAUAGCCUAGAGAUAGGUGAAGCCCUUCGGGGCAAGGAGACAGGUGGUGCAUGGUUGUCGUCAGCUCGUGUCGUGAGAUGUUAGGUUAAGUCCUGCAACGAGCGCAACCCUUGUUAUUAGUUGCUACCAUUAAGUUGAGCACUCUAAUGAGACUGCCUGGGUAACCAGGAGGAAGGUGGGGAUGACGUCAAAUCAUCAUGCCCCUUAUGUCCAGGGCUACACACGUGCUACAAUGGUAGGUACAAUAAGACGCAAGACCGUGAGGUGGAGCAAAACUUAUAAAACCUAUCUCAGUUCGGAUUGUAGGCUGCAACUCGCCUACAUGAAGCUGGAGUUGCUAGUAAUCGCGAAUCAGAAUGUCGCGGUGAAUACGUUCCCGGGCCUUGUACACACCGCCCGUCACACCAUGAGAGCUGGUAACACCCGAAGUCCGUGAGGUAACCGUAAGGAGCCAGCGGCCGAAGGUGGGAUUAGUGAUUGGGGUGAAGUCGUAACAAGGUAGCCGUAGGAGAACCUGCGGCUGGAUCACCUCC